AGGUUGAGGUCUUAUUUGUCUCUUUUUUGGUUUAGAAUUUGCUUUUUGUGUGAAGAAGCACAGGUUUAUAAAAAAGACAAGAAGACCCUUUUAAGCUUUAUUUUUUGUUUUGCUCUUGUUUGUUUUUAAAUAGUUUAUGAGUAAUAGUUAAAAUUUAGUUGGGGUGACUAAAGAAGAAGUUAUCUUCUUUUUAAAACGAAAACUGUGUGUUUAAUGAAGACCCAAGAUUUUUUGGUCGAAAGAAUAAGUUACUAAAGGGAUAACAGCGUAAUCUUUUCAGAGAGUUCUUAUUGAAGAAAAGGAUUGCGACCUCGAUGUUGACUUGCUUUCCCCUUUUAAGGUGCAGAAGCUGAAAGGGUUGGUCUGUUCGACCAUUAAAAUAGCACGUGAUCUGAGUUCAGACCGGA
rnacentral:rRNA from 1 species